UCUCCGUUGGUGAACCAGCGGAGGGAUCAUUGCUGGAACGCGCCCCGGCGCACCCAGAAACCCUUUGUGAACUUAUACCUUACUGUUGCCUCGGCGCAGGCCGGCCUCUUAGCUGAGGCCCCCCGGAGACGGGGAGCAGCCCGCCGGCGGCCAACCUAACUCUUGUUUUUACACUGUAUCUCUGAGCAAAAAACAUAAAUGAAUCAAAACUUUCAACAACGGAUCUCUUGGUUCUGGCAUCGAUGAAGAACGCAGC
rnacentral:misc_RNA from 1 species